rnacentral:rRNA from 1 species
UACGGAAGGCAGCAGUGGGGAAUAUUGCACAAUGGGCGAAAGCCUGAUGCAGCCAUGCCGCGUGUAUGAAGAAGGCCUUCGGGUUGUAAAGUACUUUCAGUCGUGAGGAAGGUGUUAAGGUUAAUAACCUUAGCAAUUGACGUUAGCGACAGAAGAAGCACCGGCUAACUCCGUGCCAGCAGCCGCGGUAAUACGGAGGGUGCGAGCGUUAAUCGGAAUUACUGGGCGUAAAGGGCACGCAGGCGGUUAAUUAAGUUGGAUGUGAAAUCCCCGGGCUUAACCUGGGAAUGGCAUUCAAGACUGGUUAGCUAGAGUCUUGUAGAGGGGGGUAGAAUUCCAUGUGUAGCGGUGAAAUGCGUAGAGAUGUGGAGGAAUACCGGUGGCGAAGGCGGCCCCUGGACAAAGACUGACGCUCAUGUGCGAAAGCGUGGGGAGCAAACAGGGAUUAGAUACC